rnacentral:rRNA from 1 species
AGUGAACGCCGGCGGUAGGCCUAACACAUGCAAGUCGAACGGCAGCACAGGAGAGCUUGCUCUCUGGGUGGCGAGUGGCGGACGGGUGAGGAAUACAUCGGAAUCUACUCUGUCGUGGGGGAUAACGUAGGGAAACUUACGCUAAUACCGCAUACGACCUACGGGUGAAAGCAGGGGACCUUCGGGCCUUGCGCGAUUGAAUGAGCCGAUGUCGGAUUAGCUAGUUGGCGGGGUAAAGGCCCACCAAGGCGACGAUCCGUAGCUGGUCUGAGAGGAUGAUCAGCCACACUGAAACUGAGACACGGUCCAGACUCCUACGGGAGGCAGCAGUGGGGAAUAUUGGACAAUGGGCGCAAGCCUGAUCCAGCCAUACCGCGUGGGUGAAGAAGGCCUUCGGGUUGUAAAGCCCUUUUGUUGGGAAAGAAAUCCAGCUGGCUAAUACCCGGUAGGGAUGACGGUACCCAAAGAAUAAGCACCGGCUAACUUCGUGCCAGCCGCCGCAGUAA